CUUCGUAAAUAUAGGAAUCAUUCCUGAAACCCCAUAUACCAUGGCCUUAAUCAUCAUUUCCGUAUAAGUCCUUAGUAGUUUAUCUCAGCAGUCAGCUCCGGCCUACACAUCCUCUACGUAGGGGACCGAUGCAAAUAAGUGAAUGAUCCAGAAAAAAAAUAAAAAAAAUUAAAAGAAAGCAAAAAGGCAACUCCGGUAUAGGUGACCCUCA
rnacentral:lncRNA from 1 species